CCUACGGGGCGCAGCAGUGAGGAAUAUUGGUCAAUGGACGAGAGUCUGAACCAGCCAAGUAGCGUGAAGGGUGACUGCCCUAUGGGUUGUAAACUUCUUUUAUAUGGGAAUAAAAUGUUCCACGUGUGGGCUUUUGUAUGUACCAUAUGAAUAAGGAUCGUCUAACUCAGUGACAGCAGCCGCGGUACUACGGAGGAUACGAGCGUUAUCCGGAUUUAUUGGGUUUAAAGGGAGCGGAGGUGGAUUGUUAAGUCAGUUGUGAAAGUUUGCGGCUUAACCGUAAAAUUGCAGUUGAUACUGGCAGUCUUGAGUACAGUAGAGGGGGGCGGAAUUCGUGGUGUAGCGGUGAAAUGCUUAGAUAUCACGAAGAACUCCGAUUGCGAAGGCAGCUCACUGGACUGCAACUGACACUGAGGCUCGAAAGUGUGGGUAUCAAACAGGAUUAGAUACCCCAGUAGUC
rnacentral:rRNA from 1 species